rfam:Schistosoma rodhaini strain Burundi genome assembly, scaffold: SROB_scaffold0000732
AUCCGGCUGACGAAUCCCAAGUAGGACGAAACGCUCAUCGUGGAU